rnacentral:rRNA from 1 species
AGAGUUUGAUCCUGGCUCAGAUUGAACGCUGGCGGCAUGCCUUACACAUGCAAGUCGAACGGCAGCACGGGAGCAAUCCUGGUGGCGAGUGGCGAACGGGUGAGUAAUAUAUCGGAACGUGCCCAGUCGUGGGGGAUAACGCAGCGAAAGCUGUGCUAAUACCGCAUACGAUCUCUGGAUGANAGCGGGGGACCUGCAAGGGCCUCGCGCGAUUGGAGCGGCCGAUAUCAGAUUAGCUAGUUGGUGGGGUAAAAGCUCACCAAGGCGACGAUCUGUAGCUGGUCUGAGAGGACGACCAGCCACACUGGAACUGAGACACGGUCCAGACUCCUACGGGAGGCAGCAGUGGGGAAUUUUGGACAAUGGGCGCAAGCCUGAUCCAG